UGGAGCAUGAGAUCACUCAGCCACGGAGCUGACCCCUGUGUAAAGAAUUUUGUGUGGACAUAAGUUUUCAACUCCUUUGGUAUGGUGGAGUGUAGAUAGGCCUGGUCCCUGCCUAGCCUUGAAGAAGACUGGAAGCUCCCUUGGUCUUUUGGAGUCCUGAGCUACCAGGAAAUCAUGACCAGGCAGACUAAGACUUUUGGCUAUGAGGUAUGCUGGCCGGGGGAUGGAAGUAUGCUCCAGCAAGAGCAAGGAGACCUGAUGCUGUGGUAGUGCCAAGCAGAGUGGGCCGCCUGGGCAGCAACAUGCCUUCACACAAACUGUGCUCUGCGUACAGCUGAAGGAAUUGAAGGAAUCUGACUGAGGACUAGAGAAGUUAAGUCACUGCAGACAGAUACAGAGAAGUGGCAAAGGAAGCUGAUUCGUAUGCACCAUCUCAAAGAACCUCCUCACCCUCCCACAUCUGGUUGGGUUCUGCCGUCAGGGAGAACUGCCAGAUCACAGAACUAGAGAAGAGAGAAGUCAGAAUAUUCCUCCUUCUGGGUCUUACCCUACAGGUCACCAAUGUGCAGCUGAGUCCUGCUCCCCUCCAGAGGCCCAGUUUCCUUAGUUCUUUCAAUCUCUUCAUUCUGAAAAAGUGCUUUCUUCUCUCUUCAUUUCAGGCCUUAGGCUGGGAGAGGCCCACUGUUUCUAUUCCUGAUAUGUUGAACUCUAGAGUUUUACCUCCUCCCUGGCCAUACUUUGAUAAGUGGCAGGUGGUUUCAAUUAAAUUCUUCUCCAUUACCAAAUUUGAGUAUGUCAUUUCUUUCCUGAAGGAUACCCCAGAUUGACAAAGCAACCAAUGAAUAUUUCUUUCUUUCCUUAAUUGCAUUACCAUCUUACCAGUCUUGAAAAAAAUAACCAUGUCGAACAUUUUCCUUUCCCUAUUUACUUUGGAUUAUUUACCGAUCAAUAGCUGAAUCACACUUAUUCUGAAAUAAACUAACUCCCUUAUCUUGUCCCUCAUCCCACUGCUUUAUAAUAUUUGAAUUAACAGGGUAAGUUCUAUGCUGUGUCUGCAAAUUUUAGUUUCUAACCCGAAUGUCGGGAAUCUCUAGAAAUCUCAGUUACCUAAUCAGUGAAAAUAAUGAUGAGAUAUUAGGAUAGUGUCUAAAGUCCCUUUCAUUGGUUUAAGUUUAAAAUGUAGACAUGUAAAUAUAAAGUGAAGAGGUGUCAUUUAAUUGGACACUCCCAAAUAUUGUUUGCAAAUUUAACAUUAUGCCAGUUCAAGGGUUGAGUGUGUUGUUGUUGUUGAUUUUGGAGUGCCAAUUGUAGUAAGCAAUAAAGGAUAACAAAUGUACUGAAUGGCAAUGUCGAGUUCUUACUAGAUUGCUGGAAUCAACAGGCCAGAGCUCAUUUCCUGGCGUGACACUUCCCAUGAAGUUUUAAAAACUCCCCUUUUGUAAAAACAGAAAUAGUGCCACCAAUUUGCAGGAUUUGGGGAAAAAUGUAUGUAAAUCUCUGGCUCAGAGUAGACAAUAACAAAUGCCAUUUCUCCCACAGAAAUAUAUAAUCUAGUAGGGUGCUGAAGCUUAGAAAUAGAAAAUAAUUAUAAUGCAGUGUGGUCAGCUGUCAGUGAAGGACUUCUCAGUGUGGGUUCAAACAGCUUCUCCCUCCUACUCCUCAGGUUUUCUUAUCUACCUAGGCGAGAUAAUCAAAAGAUGUGGACUUCAACAAUAGGUUUUCCUGCUGUUUCUAUGGCAACCAGAUGACAAUAAUCACAACACUUCACUUUAGUCUUUAACGCAAUUUAGUCGGCAACAUUGGUUAAUCACCCACUGUGUGCAGAGAAAUGUACUGGAAGGUUAUGGCAACAAGAAAUUUUAUUGUCAUAAGUGGAAACUGCUAGGAGAAAAUAACUUUCUCCACAAAAAUGUCCUCUGAAAAAAAUUUUUAAAAAUCUACCUCAUUAUUUGCACAUUAGGGUUUCUAGAUUUACCUUGAGCCGUAAGUGCUUCUUUGCAAUCUUCUGCACAAAUAAAAUUAUCAAGGAAAGACUGGAAUUUGUCCUCGAUGCUGAAAAUGACCUGAGUUAGUGGAGACAAUAGUUGAACACUAUUCUACUAAUGCUAGCAAAUUUCUCUCUAGAACUUUCUCCUGGGAAUAUAGACACACUUAUUUUUCCCCUGAUACAAAUAUAGGAAAAGGACGUUUAUCCAAAAUUCUCCUUCUUUUGGAAGGUCCUAGGAUGGUGAGGUUAAACAGGAAGCAUGUCAUUAAAUAAUGGCAAGCAGUAAAUCCGUUAUGGGGACCUUUCUCAUAAAGCAAGCCAUGUAAUGGCCAGAUGCAGAAGGUCAAAUAAAGAACUCAAAACGUCUUUCUUCCAAUUUCUCACAGCUGUGUGUGGACCGGGCUAGAGCAAAUAACAGGUGUCUCCCAUUGACCUUCAGAGCUAUUCAAAAUUCUUAAUAAAUAAUGUUUUGGCCUCGAUACCCAUCUCUUUUCCAGAGCAAUUUUCCACUGAGAUUUAUUUCACUCAGAUUCAUUUUAUAUAUGUAAUACUAUACUCUGUUUUUUUUAAAGAUUGGCACCUGAGCUAACAUCUGUUGCCAAUCUUCUUUUUUUCUUCUUCUUCCCAAAGCCCCCCAGUACAUGGUUGUAUAUCCUAGUUGUGAGUGCCUCUGGUUGUGCUAUGUGGGAUACCACCUCAGCAUGGCCUGAUGAGCGGUGCCAUGUCCAUGCCCAGGAUCUGAAGCCACAAAACCCCAGGCCACCAAAGCAGAGCCUGAGAACUUAACCACUGGGCCACAGGUCGUCCCCUAUAAUACUAUACUCUCACACCCAUCUGCAUAUUGCUCAACUAACUUUAAAAAGGAGAAGAAUUAGUAGAAUUCAGUGAUAUGGCAUACUGAUAAGUGCUUAUUUAAAGCUGUGUGUAUGUUUGCAUUAUUCAAUUUUAAAUACUAUUUUUUUCUUACUGAACAAUAAGCAGAAGUUCCUUAUAUUAAAAAAUAGAAGUUAUUAUGAACAAAAUAAGAAUAUUAAAGUAAUC
ensembl:lncRNA